UACGGGGGGGGUAAGCGUUGUUCGGAAUUACUGGGCGUAAAGGCUCGUAGGCGGCCAACUAAGUCAGACGUGAAAUCCCUCAGCUUAACUGGGGAACUGCGUCUGAUACUGGAUGGCUUGGAUUCGGGAGAGGAAUGCGGAAUUCCAGGUGUAGCGGUGAAAUGCGUAGAUAUCUGGAUGAACACCGGUGGCGAAGGCGGGUCUCUGGGCCGAUACUGACGCUGAGGAGCGAAAGCGUGGGGAGCGAACAGG
rnacentral:rRNA from 1 species